rnacentral:rRNA from 1 species
AACGAACGCUGGCGGCAUGCCUAACACAUGCAAGUCGAACGAGACCUUCGGGUCUAGUGGCGCACGGGUGCGUAACGCGUGGGAACCUGCCCUUAGGUUCGGAAUAACUCCCCGAAAGGGGUGCUAAUACCGGAUAAUGUCUUCGGACCAAAGAUUUAUCGCCUUUGGAUGGGCCCGCGUUGGAUUAGCUAGUUGGUAGGGUAAGAGCCUACCAAGGCGACGAUCCAUAGCUGGUCUGAGAGGAUGAUCAGCCACACUGGGACUGAGACACGGCCCAGACUCCUACGAGAAGCAGCAGUGGGGAAUAUUGGACAAUGGGCGAAAGCCUGAUCCAGCAAUGCCGCGUGAGUGAUGAAGGCCUUAGGGUUGUAAAGCUCUUUUACCCGGGAUGAUAAUGACAGUACCGGGAGAAUAAGCUCCGGCUAACUCCGUG